UACGUAGGGCGCGAGCGUUGUCCGGAAUUAUUGGGCGUAAAGAGCUCGUAGGCGGCCUGUUGCGUCCGCUGUGAAAUCCCGGGGCUUAACCCCGGGCGUGCAGUGGAUACGGGCUGGCUGGAGGCAGGCAGGGGAGAACGGAAUUCCCGGUGUAGCGGUGAAAUGCGCAGAUAUCGGGAGGAACACCGGUGGCGAAGGCGGUCA
rnacentral:rRNA from 1 species